rnacentral:rRNA from 1 species
GCGGAACACGUGUGCACUGCUUUAUCUGGGGGAUAGCCUUUCGAAAGGAAGAUUAAUACCCCAUAAUAUGUUGAAUGGCAUCAUUCGACAUUGAAAACUCCGGUGGGUAGAGAUGGGCACGCGCAAGAUUAGAUAGUUGGUGAGGUAACGGUCACCAAGUCUACGAUCUUUAGGGGGCCUGAAGGGUGAUCCCCCAAUGGUACUGAGACACGGGACCAGAUCCUACGGGAGGCGGCAGUUGAGGAAUAUUGGACAAUGGGUGAGAGCCUGAUCCAGCAUCCCGCGUGAAGGACGACUGGCCUAUGGGUUGGAAACUUCUCUUGCAUAGGGAUAAACUACCUCGUGAGGGUAACCUGAACGGGACUUAUACGAAUUAAGGCCACCGGGUUAAAAUUCCCGGGGGCCAAGGAAGCCGGGGGGUCAAAAACCCGGAACGGGGUGGCCACACNGUUCAUACCGGGAUUCACAGGGGGGCGCUCAAAAAGGGGUCCCCAAAGAGAGGGAACCGCCGAAAACCCAGCGGCGUCACACAACGCCACACAAGACGUCAAAACAGCGCGCAAAAACUGGGGGCNCCCCCCAGGGGGGCUAUCAACCAGC